AUUGAACGCUGGCGGCAUGCCUUACACAUGCAAGUCGAACGGUAACAGGUCUUCGGAUGCUGACGAGUGGCGAACGGGUGAGUAAUACAUCGGAACGUGCCUAGUAGUGGGGGAUAACUACUCGAAAGAGUGGCUAAUACCGCAUGAGAUCUACGGAUGAAAGCAGGGGAUCGCAAGACCUUGUGCUACUAGAGCGGCCGAUGGCAGAUUAGGUAGUUGGUGGGAUAAAAGCUUACCAAGCCGACGAUCUGUAGCUGGUCUGAGAGGACGAUCAGCCACACUGGGACUGAGACACGGCCCAGACUCCUACGGGAGGCAGCAGUGGGGAAUUUUGGACAAUGGGCGCAAGCCUGAUCCAGCAAUGCCGCGUGCAGGAUGAAGGCCUUCGGGUUGUAAACUGCUUUUGUACGGAACGAAAAGCCCUGGGUUAAUACCCUGGGAUCAUGACGGUACCGUAAGAAUAAGCGCCGGCUAACUACGUGCCAGCAGCCGCGGUAACAC
rnacentral:rRNA from 1 species